ensembl:snRNA U6 U6 spliceosomal RNA
GUGCUCGCAUCAGCAGCACACAGACUAAAAAAUUGGAACAAUACAGAGAAGAUUAGCAUGGCCCCCGUGCAAGGAUGACAAAAUUCAUGAAGUGUUCCAUAUAGAUUUU